rnacentral:miRNA from 1 species
GUGAGUGGGAGCCGGUGGGGCUG